CCUACGGGAGGCAGCAGUCGGGAAUCUUGCGCAAUGGAGGAAACUCUGACGCAGUGACGCCGCGUGCAGGAAGAAGGUUUUCGGAUUGUAAACUGCUGUUGACAGGGAAGAAAAAAGGCAGUACCAGUAGAAUAAGCUCCGGCUAACUACGUGCCAGCAACCGCGGUAAUCCGUAGGGGGCAAGCGUUAUCCGGAGUUAUUGGGUGUAAAGGGGGCGUAGGCGGAGAAGCAAGUUAGUUGUGAAAUCCAUCGGCUGAACUGAAGUACUGCAACUAAAACUACUUCCCUUGAGUACUGGAGAGGAGAGUGGAAUUCCUUGUGUAGCGGUGAAAUGCGUAGAUAUUAGGAGGAACACCAGUGGCGAAGGCGACUUUCUGGACAGUAACUGACGUUGAGGCACGAAAGUGUGGGGAGCAAACAGGAUUAGAUACCCGUGUAGUC
rnacentral:rRNA from 1 species